CCCCAGAACCAUCGAACAGGGCAUUUCAGUAAUGUUUUCUUAUCUCUUCUGUCUUACUCCCGUUUCUAUCUCUACUAAUCUUUAUCUCACACUCCCUAUUUUCUAAAUUAUAAAAUGUACUAUAAUUCUAACAAACCCUCUAUUUUUUUGCCUAAGUGUUUCUCUUUGUCUUCUUCUAUUUUAUUUCCCUGAGUGUAAUUCUCUCCUCUUCCUGUAACCUAAUUAAGCUCUCUAGCUCGUCUAAAUCCAACACCACCGCUACUUCUUCUCUCCUCUUCCUCCGGCUUUGUCCAUCGUCCUCUCCACACCACCGCUGCUUCUCUCCUCUUCCUCUGGCCUCGUCCUAUGUUCUCUCGCCUCCGUCGUCUCAGAUGACAUCAAAAACAAAGCGACUACAGACAGCCAACUACCAUGCCAGUGUGACACAAGAUUCAUCUCACACACAGCCCAGUUUCAGGCCAACUACCAUGCCGCCGGGAGCUACCAUGCCACCAGGAACUACUGGUGUAUCUUCUAAUGGUCCUACCAUGCCACCAGGAGCUACUGGCUUGUCUUCUAAUGGUGCUAACAUGCCACCAGGAGCUACUGAUGGAGCUACCUGUAUCCUAACUUGAAGCUGCUAAUGGAGAUGCUGAUGGAUCUCCACUUCCUUCUCACACUCAUCUCAUCAACCAAACAUUUCUAGAGAUAAAUAAACCCAAAAAAGGUCGUAUUUAUGGACUGGGCAGCGCUCAAGAUAAGGAUGUCAGCCCAAACGAGACUUCACAUCUUGCCCGCAAUCUUGACAUGGAUAUGCGGUUGUCUAGCUUAGAGACUAAUGUAGAAGCAGUUAAAGCAGAUAUGGCAAUGCUGAAAGAGGAUGUGAUGAUGCUCAAGGAUGACAUGAAGGUGGUAAAGGAAUGUGCAGCAUCAAUGAAAGCUUCAACACAUGUGAUUCUAAGGGGUAUUGGCAUUGAUCCCAUAACUCACAAAUGGAUCACACCCUCACGUUCUCGUCCCAUGGUUAGUGAAUCAGCCCCUGCCUCCCUACUCUACAACCUCAUAACAAUAAUAAUGAGGAAUGAUAUGAUUAUGGGUUGGUCUUUUGGAUUAAAAUCAUGUAUCUAUGUUUAUUGUAAACCAAAAAUAUUUGGAUUAUAUUAAUGUUCAGUCCUUAUUAUAUUUUUGUAAACCAAAAAAGCUUUCUAAUUUUUAUGUUGUUUUCAUACAAAGCUAUAAUUUUUGACAA